rnacentral:tRNA from 1 species
GUUAAUGUAGCUUAAAUAAUAUAAAGCAAGGCACUGAAAAUGCCUAGAUGAGUUUUCUCACUCCAUAAACA